UACGGAGGUGGCAAGCGUUGUUCGGAAUUACUGGGCGUAAAGGGCGCGUAGGCGGCAAGGCAAGUCAGGUGUGAAAGCCCCGAGCUUAACUCGGGAAUUGCAUCUGAAACUGCUGUGCUUGAGUUCUGGAGGGGUAGUGGAAUUCCCAGUGUAGCGGUGAAAUGCGUAGAUAUUGGGAGGAACACCUGCGGCGAAGGCGGCUACCUGGACCA
rnacentral:rRNA from 1 species